GCCGCCGUAACGUAGCUUGGUAGCGUGCAGGCCUGAAAAGCCUGAAGCGUGGGUUCGAAUCCCGCCGGCGGCC
rnacentral:tRNA from 2 species